rnacentral:rRNA from 1 species
GAUCAUGGCUCAGGACGAACGCUGGCGGCGUGCUUAACACAUGCAAGUCGAACGAAGCACCCUUGAUUGAGGUUUCGGCCAAAUGAUAGGAAUGCUUAGUGGCGGACUGGUGAGUAACGCGUGAGGAACCUGCCUUUCAGAGGGGGACAACAGUUGGAAACGACUGCUAAUACCGCAUGACGCAUUUUGAUCGCAUGGUCGAAAUGCCAAAGAUUUAUCGCUGAAAGAUGG